rnacentral:rRNA from 1 species
GGGGAAUUUUCCGCAAUGGGCGAAAGCCUGACGGAGCAAUACCGCGUGAGGGAGGUAGGCUCUUGGGUCGUAAACCUCUUUUCUCAGGGAAGAAAAAAAUGACGGUACCUGAGGAAUAAGCAUCGGCUAACUCCGUGCCAGCAGCCGCGGUAAUACGGAGGAUGCAAGCGUUAUCCGGAAUGAUUGGGCGUAAAGGGUCCGCAGGUGGCGAUGUAAGUCUGCUGUUAAAGAGUCAUGCUCAACAUGAUAAGAGCAGUGGAAACUACAGAGCUAGAGUGCGUUCGGGGCAGAGGGAAUUCCUGGUGUAGCGGUGAAAUGCGUAGAUAUCAGGAAGAACACCGGUGGCGAAAGCGCUCUGCUAGGCCGCAACUGACACUGAGGGACGAAAGCUAGGGGAGCGAAUGGGAUUAGAUACCCCAGUAGUC